GUACGAGAAAGUGGAGCAAUCCAUGAGUAAAGUGGCGACCGGGUGAGUAACACGUGACUACCUACCCUCAAGUGGGGGAUAACUCCGGGAAACCGGAGCUAAUACCGCAUAACAUCGCAAGAUCAAAGCAGCAAUGCGCUGGAGGAGGGGGUCGCGGCUGAUUAGCUAGUUGGCGGGGUAACGGCCCACCAAGGCGAAGAUCGGUAUCCGGCCUGAGAGGGCGCACGGACACACUGGAACUGAAACACGGUCCAGACUCCUACGGGAGGCAGCAGUGGGGAAUUUUGCGCAAUGGGGGAAACCCUGACGCAGCAACGCCGCGUGGAGGAUGAAGUCCCUUGGGACGUAAACUCCUUUCGACCAAGACGAUGAUGACGGUACUGGUGGAAGAAGCACCGGCUAACUCUGUG
rnacentral:rRNA from 1 species